rnacentral:rRNA from 1 species
CACUCCUGCGGGAGGCAGCAGUGGGGAAUAUUGCACAAUGGGCGCAAGCCUGAUGCAGCGACGCCGCGUGGGGGAUGAAGGCCUUCGGGUUGUAAACUCCUUUCGCUAGGGACGAAGCUUUUUUGUGACGGUACCUAGAUAAGAAGCACCGGCUAACUACGUGCCAGCAGCCGCGGUAAUACGUAGGGUGCGAGCGUUGUCCGGAAUUACUGGGCGUAAAGGGCUCGUAGGUGGUUUGUCGCGUCGUCUGUGAAAUUCUGGGGCUUAACUCCGGGCGUGCAGGCGAUACGGGCAUAACUUGAGUGCUGUAGGGGUAACUGGAAUUCCUGGUGUAGCGGUGAAAUGCGCAGAUAUCAGGAGGAACACCGAUGGCGAAGGCAGGUUACUGGGCAGUUACUGACGCUGAGGAGCGAAAGCAUGGGUAGCGAACAGGAUUAGAUACCCGAGUAGUCCCA